AGCGAACGCUGGCGGCAGGCCUAACACAUGCAAGUCGAACGAACUCUUCGGAGUUAGUGGCGGACGGGUGAGUAACACGUGGGAACGUGCCUUUAGGUUCGGAAUAACUCAGGGAAACUUGUGCUAAUACCGAAUGUGCCCUUCGGGGGAAAGAUUUAUCGCCUUUAGAGCGGCCCGCGUCUGAUUAGCUAGUUGGUGAGGUAAAGGCUCACCAAGGCGACGAUCAGUAGCUGGUCUGAGAGGAUGAUCAGCCACAUUGGGACUGAGACACGGCCCAAACUCCUACGGGAGGCAGCAGUGGGGAAUCUUGCGCAAUGGGCGAAAGCCUGACGCAGCCAUGCCGCGUGAAUGAUGAAGGUCUUAGGAUUGCAAAAUUCUUUCACCGGGGACGAUAAUGACGGUACCCGGAGAAGAGGCCCCGGCUAACUUCGUG
rnacentral:rRNA from 1 species